GUGUACCCCACUGUGUACACUACUUUCGAUUAUCAAUACAUGUACAAUAGAAAGUGAGUAGCAACUCGCAUACAUAAUGUAUAUUACCAAAAGGAAUAUAUUUCAGUUUUGUUCUCACUGUUAACCAAGUCAGAUGCCUACCGAAUCCGAAAACCUUUGAAUAUAACAGUGGCUCGAGGAUGAACUGGAUUUAUUGUUUCAUUUUGUCGCGUGAUUUUUUAUUUUUUUUGCUUCGGCCAGUGAUUUUUCUGAAAGCGUGCAAAAUUUGUGAAAUUGUGUACACAUCGUAAAUUUUGUGUGGAACAUUUUCCGUUGGUUCGGCGCGGAGGCAUCUUUUUGUGCACAUUUUUGUUUUGUUUCGGUGACGAUACUGGGUGACGUUUUUUUUUCGUUUUACACUUCAACUUUUUUUUCCUGCCGAUUGGGUCGUUGAUUUUUACAUAACUAAAUCAUUUUUCCAAUCGUGCAGCGUAUUUUUUUAUUUGUGUUGUAAGUGUGUUUUUAUAAUUGUACUUUUCAUAAAACGUCAUUUUGAAUCGCUAGCAACGAUUCUUUUAAGCCCAGAUUUUAUUGUUCGUCUUUUUGUGCCAUUUUGCUUGGCAACGCAACAGUGAGCAGUAUGAACAACGAUAUGAUGCCGAUAUCAUUUACAAGAAUGUCGCACUUCGGCAUACGGUAUUAGGAGAACAACGGUGCGGCAGGGCGCUUUUGUUGCCCAAUUUUGAUAUGAAUGCUGUUUCCCGACGAUGGAGAGGACAGAUGACGAUCAACUCACGCAAACGGGUAGUUUCAUCAACUGUGGAGAACUAUUACAAAACGUGUAAUUUGUGUUUAAUUUUAACGUGUUUAGUCUAGCCCCAAUGUUUUUUUUUGUUUAGGGGAAAGAAUCGGCUCUUUAAUCUUAAAUUGUAGAAAAAAAUGAAUGAAGCAGUAUACAACUAUAAUUAUAAAAAGAGCAGUUUUGAUAACAAUUUUUAAAUUAGUUUAAUAUCUCACUUACUGAUGCAAAUGGUUCAUUUUAGAUUAGGGCAAAUCAAACCUGAUUUUGCAUUCGGAAUGAUUGAUUGGAAUUGUGUCGUAGAACUUAACUUUUCUGAAUAAACAGAUAAAUAGUUUCCAAUCUUAAGGGAAGAGGAGUUGUAGUGUACCCCACUGUGUACACUACUUUCGAUUAUCAAUACAUGUACAAUAGAAAGUGAGUAGCAACUCGCAUACAUAAUGUAUAUUACCAAAAGGAAUAUAUUUCAGUUUUGUUCUCACUGUU